AGAGUUUGAUCCUGGCUCAGGACGAACGCUGGCGGCGUGCCUAAUACAUGCAAGUCGAGCGCAGGAAAUCGACGGAACCCUUCGGGGGGAAGUCGACGGAAUGAGCGGCGGACGGGUAAGUAACACGUAAAGAACCUGCCCUCAGGUCUGGGAUAACCACGAGAAAUCGGGGCUAAUACCGGAUGGGUCAUCGGACCGCAUGGUCCGAGGAUGAAAGGCGCUUCGGCGUCGCCUGGGGAUGGCUUUGCGGUGCAUUAGCUAGCUGGUGGGGUAAUGGCCCACCAAGGCGACGAUGCAUAGCCGACCUGAGAUGGUGAUCGGCCACACUGGGACUGAGACACGGCCCAAACUCCUACGGGAGGCAGCAGUAGGGAAUCUUCCACAAUGGACGAAAGUCUGAUGGAGCAACGCCGCGUGAACGAUGAAGGCCUUCGGGUCGUAAAGUUCUGUUGUAAGGGAAGAACAAGUGCCGCAGGCAAUGGCGGCACCUUGACGGUACCUUGCGAGAAAGCCACGGCUAACUACGUGCCAGCAGCCGCGGUAAUACGUAGGUGGCAAGCGUUGUCCGGAAUUAUUGGGCGUAAAGCGCGCGCAGGCGGCCUCUUAAGUCUGAUGUGAAAGCCCCCGGCUCAACCGGGGAGGGCCAUUGGAAACUGGGAGGCUUGAGUAUAGGAAAAGAAGAGUGGAAUUCCACGUGUAGCGGUGAAAUGCGUAGAGAUGGGGGAGGAACACCAGUGGGCGAAGGCGACUCUUUGGGCCUAUAACUGACGCU
rnacentral:rRNA from 1 species